rnacentral:rRNA from 1 species
UACGUAGGGUGCAAGCGUUGUCCGGGAAUUAUUGGGCGUAAAGAGCUCGUAGGCGGUUUGUCGCGUCUGCUGUGAAAACUCGGGGCUUAACUCCGGGCCUGCAGUGGGUACGGGCAGACUAGAGUGCGGUAGGGGAGACUGGAAUUCCUGGUGUAGCGGUGAAAUGCGCAGAUAUCAGGAGGAACACCGGUGGCGAAGGCGGGUCUCUGGGCCGUAACUGACGCUGAGGAGCGAAAGCGUGGGGAGCGAACAGG